rnacentral:rRNA from 1 species
GACGAACGCUGGCGGCGUGCUUAACACAUGCAAGUCGAACGGAAAGGCCCUGCUUUUGUGGGGUGCUCGAGUGGCGAACGGGUGAGUAACACGUGAGUAACCCGCCCUUGACUUUGGGAUAACUUCAGGAAACUGGGGCUAAUACCGGAUAGGAGCUCCUGCUGCAUGGUGGGGGUUGGAAAGUUUUGGCGGUUGGGGAUGGACUCGCGGCUUAUCAGCUUGUUGGUGGGGUAGUGGCUUACCAAGGCUUUGACGGGUAGCCGGCCUGAGUGGGUGACCGGCCACAUUGGGACUGAGAUACGGCGCAGACUCCUACGUGAGGCAGCAGUGGGAAAUAUUGCGCAAUGGGCGGAAGCCUGAUGCAGCAGCGCCGCGUGCGGGAUGAUGGCCUUCGGGUGGUAAACUACUUUCGCAUGUGACGAACCGUGAGUGACGGUAAUGGGUUAAGAAGCACCGGCUAACUACGUG